UACGUAGGGAGCAAGCGUUGUCCGGAAUCACUGGGCGUAAAGGGCGCGUAGGCGGUCUGCUAAGCGUGUGGUGAAAGCGCGGGGCUCAACCCUGCGUCGGCCAUGAAUACUGCCGCGGCUGGAGCACUGUAGAGGCAGGCGGAAUUCCGGGUGUAGCGGUGGAAUGCGUAGAGAUCCGGAAGAACACCGGUGGCGAAGGCGGCCUGCUGGGCAGUUGCUGACACUGAGGCGCGACAGCGUGGGGAGCGAACAGG
rnacentral:rRNA from 1 species